rnacentral:rRNA from 1 species
AGUCAAGUAAUUAAGUGCAUGUGGUGGAUGCCUUGGCAGUCAGAGGCGAUGAAAGACGUGAUAGCCUGCGAAAAGCUCCGGGGAGGCGGCAAAUAUCCUUUGAUCCGGAGAUGUCUGAAUGGGGGAACCCACCUACUUUAAGGUAGGUAUUGCAACAUGAAUACAUAGUGUUGCAAGGCGAACGAGGGGAAGUGAAACAUCUCAGUACCCUUAGGAAAAGAAAUCAAUUGAGAUUCCCUCAGUAGCGGCGAGCGAACGGGGAUCAGCCCAUUAAGUUAUGUGUGUUUUAGUGGAACGCUCUGGGAAGUGCGAACGUAGAGGGUGAUAUUCCCGUACACGAAAGGGCACACAUAAUGAUGACGAGUAGGGCGAGGCACGUGAAACCUUGUCUGAAUAUGGGGGGACCAUCCUCCAAGGCUAAAUACUCCUGACUGACCGAUAGUGAACCAGUACCGUGAGGGAAAGGCGAAAAGAACCCCUGUGAGGGGAGUGAAAUAGAUCCUGAAACCGCAUGCAUACAAGCAGUGGGAGCACCUUCGUGGUGUGACUGCGUACCUUUUGUAUAAUGGGUCAGCGACUUAUAUUCAGUAGCAAGGUUAACCGUAUAGGGGAGCCGUAGAGAAAUCGAGUCUUAAUAGGGCGUUUAGUUGCUGGGUAUAGACCCGAAACCAGGCGAUCUAUCCAUGAGCAGGUUGAAGGUUGGGUAACACUAACUGGAGGACCGAACCCACUGUCGUUGAAAAGCCAGGGGAUGACUUGUGGAUAGGGGUGAAAGGCUAAUCAAGCCUGGUGAUAGCUGGUUCUCCCCGAAAGCUAUUUAGGUAGCGCCUCGGACGAAUACCAUAGGGGGUAGAGCACUGUUUCGGCUAGGGGGUCAUCCCGACUUACCAAACCGAUGCAAACUCCGAAUACCUAUGAGUACUAUCCGGGAGACAGACUGCGGGUGCUAACGUCCGUAGUCAAGAGGAAAACAAUCCAGACCGCCAGCUAAGGCCCCAAAAUCAUAGUUAAGUGGGAAACGAUGUGGGAAGGCAUAGACAGCUAGGAGGUUGGCUUAGAAGCAGCCACCCUUUAAAGAAAGCGUAAUAGCUCACUAGUCGAGUCGGCCUGCGCGGAAGAUGUAACGGGGCUAAAACUAUGUGCCGAAGCUGCGGAUGUAUACUUUGUAUACGUGGUAGGGGAGCGUUCUGUAAGCCGAUGAAGGUGUGUUGAGAAGCAUGCUGGAGGUAUCAGAAGUGCGAAUGCUGACGUGAGUAACGACAAAACGGGUGAAAAACCCGUUCGCCGAAAGACCAAGGGUUCCAGUCCAACGUUAAUCGGGGCUGGGUGAGUCGACCCCUAAGGCGAGGCCGAAAGGCGUAGUCGAUGGGAAAAUGGUUAAUAUUCCAUUACUUCUGUGUAAUGCGAUGAGAGGACGGAGAAGGCUAAAUCAGCCUGGCGUUGGUUGUCCAGGUGAAAGGAUGUAGGCAUGUAUCUUAGGCAAAUCCGGGGUACUCUAUGCUGAGAUCUGAUAGCAAGCUGUACUUGUACAGCGAAGUGGUUGAUGCCAUGCUUCCAGGAAAAGUCUCUAAGCUUCAGUUACACAGGAAUCGUACCCGAAACCGACACAGGUGGUCAGGUCGAGUAGACCAAGGCGCUUGAGAGAACUCUGCUGAAGGAACUAGGCAAAAUGGUACCGUAACUUCGGGAGAAGGUACGCUGUUGUUGGUGAUGGAACUCGCUUCCUGAGCUGACGACAGCCGCAGAAACCAGGCCGCUGCAACUGUUUAUUAAAAACAUAGCACUCUGCAAACACGAAAGUGGACGUAUAGGGUGUGAUGCCUGCCCGGUGCUGGAAGGUUAAUUGAUGGGGUUAGCGUAAGCGAAGCUCUUGAUCGAAGCCCCAGUAAACGGCGGCCGUAACUAUAACGGUCCUAAGGUAGCGAAAUUCCUUGUCGGGUAAGUUCCGACCUGCACGAAUGGCAUAAUGAUGGCGGCGCUGUCUCCAGCAGAGGCUCAGUGAAAUCGAAAUCGCUGUGAAGAUGCAGUGUACCCGCGGCUAGACGGAAAGACCCCGUGAACCUUUACUGCAGCUUGACACUGAACUUUGACCUUACUUGUGUAGGAUAGGUGGGAGGCUUUGAAGCUGGAACGCUAGUUCCAGUGGAGCCGUCCUUGAAAUACCACCCUGGUAAUGUUGAGGUUCUAACUCUGUCCCGUGAUCCGGGACGAGGACCGUGUCUGGUGGGUAGUUUGACUGGGGCGGUCUCCUCCUAAAGAGUAACGGAGGAGUACGAAGGUGCGCUCAGCGUGGUCGGAAAUCACGCGUAGAGUAUAAAGGCAAAAGCGCGCUUAACUGCGAGACCCACAAGUCGAGCAGGUACGAAAGUAGGUCUUAGUGAUCCGGUGGUUCUGUAUGGAAGGGCCAUCGCUCAACGGAUAAAAGGUACUCUGGGGAUAACAGGCUGAUACCGCCCAAGAGUUCAUAUCGACGGCGGUGUUUGGCACCUCGAUGUCGGCUCAUCUCAUCCUGGGGCUGAAGCAGGUCCCAAGGGUAUGGCUGUUCGCCAUUUAAAGAGGUACGCGAGCUGGGUUUAGAACGUCGUGAGACAGUUCGGUCCCUAUCUACCGUGGGCGCUGGAAAUUUGAGAGGAUCUGCUCCUAGUACGAGAGGACCAGAGUGGACGAACCUCUGGUGUACCGGUUGUGACGCCAGUCGCAUCGCCGGGUAGCUAUGUUCGGAAGGGAUAACCGCUGAAAGCAUCUAAGCGGGAAGCCUACCUCAAGAUAAGAUUUCCCUAGGACUUUAUGUCCUCUAAAGAGCCGUUCGAGACUAGGACGUUGAUAGGUUGGAUGUGGAAGCAUAGUGAUAUGUGAAGCUGACCAAUACUAAUUGCUCGUGAGGCUUGACUAUACAACACCC